ensembl:lncRNA
AGUAGUUUUUGAAGAGCCCUUUCAGGGCAAGCCAGGCAUUAGCUUGAGGGCAUUUCUCUGCCUUUCACCUCCAGAGAGACAUCUCUUCCUGUCAUCGUCACUAGGCUUCUGUGCAUCACGUAGCUCUAGCAAUAUACUGAGUUGAGUGAUGUGCAUCCAUGGUAUGUCCAGGAGGAAAGAGGGAUAAGGAGGCCUCUCGCCUCCCACUCUCACUUACACAGUCAGAGUGUGACAUGGCAGAAGGCACUUGCAGGGCUGUGAGGUCCACGCUCACCCUUCUGGCUCUGUCUGACUGUGACAGGUUUCAGAACUUCCUUUUCAGGUUUUCUACAUGCAUUGCUGUAUUUAUUACAUUUUCAAGACUCCUUUUUUAACACAGUGGAGCUUGAGAGUUUCAGAUUUUGUUUAAAAAUAAAUUUACUCUCAAGCAAUCUUAUGACUAUGGGACUUGAAGUGAUAGCAUGUCAAACCUUUAGUUUAACUAGGUUAAACUAGAGAAGAGGGAAGAGACAGAAUAAGGACAACUGAAAUGGCGCAAGAAUAAGUGUAUUCUUUCAUAUUGCUUUGUUUUCCUUUCAAAGAUAGCUCAGUGCUUCUGAACCUGAAUGAUGCGGUUCCAAGAAGAUUGGAAUUGCAAUCUCAACCUGGGAGAAUUAAGGAGAAAAAUAAAAAUAGUUAAGACUUUCUCCUAACUUCUCUGCAUGAACAGUGAAAUCCACAGCAAGUAGACCAGCCUAAACUUAAAUCACCUCAGUGUUGUUAAACAUCAGCACCAUAAGGGAAGUAUUAAAAUCAGGAGAGAACCCACUGGCAGUCAGUCUGUGAUUCUGAGGCUCCUGAAUGUGAAGAGUGGAUAGCAGCAGACCUGAAGAAACUCAUAAUUCAUAGAAGAUUUAAGAAAUUGCCUGUUCUUGGUGUUUCAUUGUAUUAGAAGGAGGAAAUAAAUUCUAAGUAGUCAAGACAAUUUUGGAAAAGGAUCUGUCACCUGAAGAGCAUAUUUUAGAUUUUAAGCUGGAUGAAUGAACUCUUUGUACUACUCUUCGAUACACUGGAGGGAAGAGAGAAGAUGCAUCAAAUUAAAUUCCUACAAGCUUCAUGAGAACAGACAGCUGGGUAGAGAUGCUUUCAGUGAGGAACAAGCUGAGCCUGACUUCCUGUAAUGUCUGAUUAUAAAUUUUGCCCUCCUGUUUCUCAAGCAUGAAAUAUAGUCUUCCACGUAGUGUUCAAUGCUUCAUUUUCACUAUAUUCAGUUGCUUUUCUCAGUUUUAUAAUUUUGUUUUCUUUUACUUUUUCCUCUUCCUCUACACUUUGCCCAGUUUCAUGGUUCAUCUCUCCAAAUAAUUUUCUGACUUAGCCUUUCCCUUUCAGUCUGUGUCUGAAUAACAGAGAUGUGCCAUCCAACAGCUGUCCUUCCUGAGAACCAACACGACUUCUCAGCAUCACAUCUUUUUCAUCCUUGGGCAUGAAUACUAAACAAAAUAAUCAUCUUGCAGAAUUACUUUCUAGAAUUCACUAUUUUUAUGAUUUAUUUCCAGUUAUCAGUCGAAAUUUAAGCUGCAUAUGAGAAUCCCUACUAUGGGAUACCAAUGCUCAAGGGUAGAACCAGUUUCCAGUUCAUUAAGCCUUUAUGUCCUUUACAUGUGAUUCUUUAGUGUAAUGAAAGAUGCAAAAUGAUAACGAAUGUUUAUGAGUUAUCUCAAUUUCAUUUCUAUCUGUUGCAUUUUGUUGAUACAGUGGCAGUUUGCUGCAUAGCCCAUAUCUACCACAGCAACAUAUUUCUGCUAGCCCUCCUCUUUUUUUGCAAAGGCUAUGGUGGUUUCUCUUUUACUAUCUUUUGAAAAAUUAUUAAUAGCUUCUUAGAAAAAUAUUUCAUGAAUUUUUGUCUUGACCCUUCUUGUCCCAUUGUUCAAGUUCCCUUUGUCUUGCAAGGGAUGAAGGACAAAGAUUGGGAUUAACUU